AUUUGAAAUUGAAGAAGUUCUUGCACAUAAUAGAGAACUCGCCUGUGUUCCCUGUUAUCUAUGAUUCAAAGAGGUGUCACUAGUGUUCUCAAAAGCACCGGAGUUGCCUGGGCAGGCACCCAAUGUGGCGACUCCAAAAGCACCUCAACUCCCUCCUCAUACAAUUCAUAUUUGACCGUCGAUGAUCAAGGUUGAAAAGGACCCGAAGCUUUUAGAUAUCAGGACCGUUGAUGCACUUGAAAUAGUACAAACAAGGUACAACCAACAUAUUU